CUAGAGGGACGUGCCGGCGGACAAGUCGGAGGAAGGUGGGGAUGACGUCAAAUCAUCAUGCCCCUUACUGACCUGGGCUACACACGUGCUACAAUGGGCGGUACAAAGGGCUGCGAACCCGCAGGGGGAGCGAAUCCCAAAAAGCCGCUCUCAGUUCGGAUUGCAGGCUGCAACUCGCCUGCAUGAAGCCGGAAUCGCUAGUAAUCGCGGAUCAGCAUGCCGCGGUGAAUACGUUCCCGGGCCUU
rnacentral:rRNA from 1 species